GUCAUUGUGCCCUCCCGCAGAAAACCCUAGCCACACCCCCGAGCAAAGGUCUCCGCCCAAACUCGGGGGGUUCGGGAAGUGAAGAGGUUGUCCUGCUCCUAUAUUAGUGUUUCAACCAAAUGGUACGGCAUCUUUUUCCUCAGACACCCAAGUGGAAGCAUGGAAAGAAGAGGCUGGAGGUGGAUGGAGAUAGACGGGAUUACGAAAGCCUCCUCCCUGGCAGCAAGUUUAAAAAGAAACUUUGACGUGCUUGUAACUAAUGCGUCUGGAAAGUUGAUUUAACGAGAGGGAGGUGUUUGGAAAUCUGCAUUUUCACAACUGCUGCAGGUGAUUCUUGUGCACACUUUGGUUUCCAGAUCACUCCCCCAAGCAGUCCACACCUACUCUAGUCACAGGCGGCCAAUCCUUCUCCAGCCACCUUUGCGGCAACCUGUCUGUUGGCCAAAUUCUCUCCUACUCCAGAAGCAAUGACUGAUACAGCUGCUCAAUGGAGUUCUUCUCUUGAGUUAUUUUUUUUAAUGUUUUUAUUUGUGAGACAGAGACAGAGCGUGAGUGGAGGAGGGGCAGAGAGAGAGGGAGACACAGAAACUGAAGCAGGCUCCAGGGCUCUGAGCUGUCAGCACAGAGCCCAACGCGGGGCUUGAACUCACAGACUGUGAGAUCAUGACCUGAGCCAAAGUCGGACGCUCAACCGACUGAGCCACCCAGGCACCCCUUCUCUUGAGUUAUUGACCUCAACAAGGGGAUAUUGGACUUCUGACUCCAGGCCCCGCUGCAUGUCCCAGAGGUCUUGAGCAUGUGCUUCAUACGUGGAAAAGCUCAGUAACUGGUGGCUGCUAUUUUUAGGUAGCCUGGAUUUAGAACCAGGUUCUACCAUUCAAAAGCCAUGUGUUUCAGACACAUGACGAACCUCAGGUUUUCAUCUUCACUUUUUACCUUUUUUUUUUUUUUUUAAGUAGGCUUCAUGCCCAGCUUGGAGCCCAAGUCGGGGCUUGAACUCACGACCCUGAGAUCAAGACCUGAGCUGAGAUCAAGAGUUGGAUGCUUCACCUACUGAGCCACCCAUCCUUUUUUUAUUUUUUUAAUUUUUUUAAUCUUUAUUUUUGAGAGAGAGAGACAGAGUGUGAGCAGGGGAGGAGCAGAGAGAGAAGGAGACACAGAAUCUGAAGUAGGCUCCAGGCCCUGAGCUGUCAGCACGGAGCCUGACGUGGGGCUGGAACUCACGAACCAUGAGAUCAUGACCUGAGCCGAAGUUGGACGCUCAGCCGACUGAGCCACCUGGGCAUCCCAAUGAGCCACUCAUCCUUAAAUAUAGGGAUAAAAAUGCUCCUACUUCAUACAGUUGGACCCAUUAGGUCAAGUCCCCUGGACCAUCCCUUUACCCCAAAAGGGCAGAUGUUAAAGAAGCCCAUAUACCAUGGCAAACCACGGGCAUCUCAGCCAAAGAAAGUAGGACGGGAUUUUCACAGAGUUUGGGGCAUAUGCUGAAUGGUUCGGGGAACGAACGAGGGUAAGCAGGAGCAGGUCUGGACUGAGUGCCAUCGUGAAGUAAGGACAGUUUGGUAGCUGAGUUUUGCAGGAAUCUUUGUCCAGGAGGCAGGAGGAACAAGAGUGUUACUGGUAACAAAGUAGUAAUGAUUCAAAAGAGGGGUUAUUGGGCCUUUGGAGCAUUGGUUUAGGCUCUGUUAGAAACUUGAAGUCUGAUGACCCUCAGGGCUAGGGAGUGAAUUCAGAACUUUGUUUCCUCGCUAUAAAAAUGAAGCUAGGGGCACCUGGGUGGCUCAGUCGGUAAAGUGCCUGACUUCGGCUCACGUCAUGAUCUCACGGUUUCUGAGUUCGAGCCCCGUGCCGGGCUCUGUGCUGACAGCUCAGAGCUUGAAGCCUGUUUCAGAUUCUGUGUCUCCCUCUCUCUCUGCUCCUCCCCCACUUGUGCUCUGUCUCUCAAAAAUAAAUAAAUGUAAAAAAAAAAAAAAUUAAAAAAAAAAUGAAGCUAACUGUGGAACGUUGCAUCCCGAAACCCUUCACUGGAAACUCUGCGCUUAGGCUGGAGGUCAAAGCUGCCCUGUGUUAUGG